rnacentral:rRNA from 1 species
AGUGAACGCUGGCGGUAGGCCUAACACAUGCAAGUCGAACGGCAGCACAGUAAGAGCUUGCUCUUACGGGUGGCGAGUGGCGGACGGGUGAGGAAUACAUCGGAAUCUACUUUUUCGUGGGGGAUAACGUAGGGAAACUUACGCUAAUACCGCAUACGACCUACGGGUGAAAGCAGGGGAUCUUCGGACCUUGCGCGAUUGAAUGAGCCGAUGUCGGAUUAGCUAGUUGGCGGGGUAAAGGCCCACCAAGGCGACGAUCCGUAGCUGGUCUGAGAGGAUGAUUAGCCACCAUGGAACUUAGACCAGGUCCAGACUCCUACGGGAAGCAGCCGUGGGGAAUAUUGGACAAUGGGCGCAAGCCUGAUCCAGCCAUACCGCGUGGGUGAAGAAGGCCUUCGGGUUGUAAAGCCCUUUUGUUGGGAAAGAAAAGCAGCAGGUUAAUACCCCGCUGUUCUGACGGUACCCAAAGAAUAAGCACCGGCUAACUUCGUG